GAUGAAGAACGCAGCGAAAUGCGAUAAGUAAUGUGAAUUGCAGAAUUCAGUGAAUCAUCGAAUCUUUGGACGCACAUUGCGCCCCCUGGUAUUCCGGGGGGCAUGCCUGUCCGAGCGUCAUUACAACCCUCAAGCUCAGCUUGGUAUUGGGCCCCGCCGCUCCGGCGGGCCCUAAAGUCAGUGGCGGUGCCGUCCGGCUCCGAGCGUAGUAAUUCUUCUCGCUCUGGAGGUCCGGUCGUGUGCUCGCCAGCAACCCCCAAUUUUUUUCAGGUUGACCUCGGAUCAGGUAGGGAUACCCGCUGAACUUAAGCAUAUCAAUAAGCGGAGGA
rnacentral:misc_RNA from 1 species